CUGGGCAUUUCCUUUAAUUUGGGGAUUGCAUGUGCACACCUUCUCUUUCAUCCACACACCCCUGUGCACUUGUGAGACAGAUUGCUUUUUGGAGGGGGAACUUUAUGGAACCCUUUCUUUGUGUCUCUCUGUCUACUUAAUUAAUAUAAUCUCUUUUUAUUUUAAAGAGAGUGUAGGGUAUGUAACACAUCUAAUAAUAUUUUUCCAAAGGAUAUCUCGUGUCUCUCGCAUCGAAAAAAAACGCAGCAAUGUGAUAUAUAUAGUGUGUUUUGCAAAUUUCUGUGAAUCAUCAACUCUUUGAACGCCCCGUGCUCUCCUUGAUUUUCCGUGGAGCGUGCGUGUUUGAAUAUCAAGAACUCCUCAAAGUAAUAUCUUUUGUAAAUUCUUGUGGUUUUGCUUUGGUAGUGGAGGUCUAUUGCCUCUUCACCCCUGCCCCUCUUUUUUCUUUAUCUGGAUCUCAGUGUUGCUCGUGUCCCCUCUCCGCGUGAUAAGAUAUAUAGCGCAGAAGACUCUUUCUCAACCCGGAAAAAAAAUUUUGAGAGGGGCGGCCGGGGUAGAUGCAGAAGCACCGCUUCUAAUACUCUGUUGUCUUGAACAAUCAAUAUUGAUCAUCUCACCUCACAUCAAGUANGACUCCCCGCUGAUCUUCAUCUUANCAAUAAAGCGGAAGA
rnacentral:misc_RNA from 1 species